AUCUCCUGACCUCGUGAUCCGCCCGCCUCUGCCUCCCAAAGUGCUGGGAUUACAGGCGUGAGCCACCGCGCCCGGUGGAAAGGACACUUUUUUACAGUAUGAGCACUGAAACAAAAAGGCAAAGCAAGGUCUGUUCACCUUCAGCUGAGAACGUGAGGAUUUUGUCAUAUAAGCAAAUUAUGUGGCACAGAAGUUUGGUGUAUGGAUUAUUUCAUCACCCAGGCCGUUUCUCAGCGUUGGAUGUGCAAGCAGUUUUGAGAGAUGAAGUCAUGACUUCAAGACAAAAAAACAGGUUUGCUUAUUUUGCUACAGAAACACAUAAAACAGUGGUCUUCUCCUCUGAUGUGAUUUUACUAAGUAUUCCUUCACUCUUCAGUUUAGAAAGAGCUGAAUUACUCAAAGAAAUAAACAACAAAACAUUCUGUACUUCAUCAGGUCCAGGAGCUCAAAUGUUGGAAAGGAGCCAGAAUUGUUAUUGCCCCCUGUGAAUCAAGCAGGAUGUACACAGUCAAAAGAAGCUGCUCACUAGAAGUUUAUCUAUAUUAAAUAACUUAUGAAAAAAAUUGGCUUCUUCAAAUCUUUUCCCUAUAAAUCUGGUCAGAAAAGCUGACUUUUGAGAAGAUAAAAUUUGAAGUAAGAAGAUAUGGAAUAAUUUUUCAUUAUUCAUUUCAAACUUUCAAAUGUAAUUGUCUUUCAAGUUUCUUACACUUAACCUGAGGCACUUUUUCUGCAUUUUUGUAAUUGAUUAUGAGACUCGCUACUUGUAUCUUCCUUUCUGAUUUGUUUAUUCUAGGAUACUUUUACAAGAAAAAUUAAUCUUCAGUGUUUAAAAAUAAAAUAUCUCAACAUUUGCA
rnacentral:lncRNA from 1 species